rnacentral:rRNA from 1 species
GACGAACGCUGGCGGCGCGCCUAACACAUGCAAGUCGAACGAGCGAGAGAGAGCUUGCUUUCUCGAGCGAGUGGCGAACGGGUGAGUAACGCGUGAGGAACCUGCCUCAAAGAGGGGGACAACAGUUGGAAACGACUGCUAAUACCGCAUAAGCCCACGGGUCGGCAUCGACCAGAGGGAAAAGGAGCAAUCCGCUUUGAGAUGGCCUCGCGUCCGAUUAGCUAGUUGGUGAGGUAAUGGCCCACCAAGGCAACGAUCGGUAGCCGGACUGAGAGGUUGAACGGCCACAUUGGGACUGAGACACGGCCCAGACUCCUACGGGAGGCAGCAGUGGGGAAUAUUGCACAAUGGGGGAAACCCUGAUGCAGCGACGCCGCGUGGAGGAAGAAGGUCUUCGGAUUGUAAACUCCUGUUGUUGGGGAAGAUAAUGACGGUACCCAACAAGGAAGUGACGGCUAACUACGUGCCAGCAGCCGCGGUAAAACGUAGGUCACAAGCGUUGUCCGGAAUUACUGGGUGUAAAGGGAGCGCAGGCGGGAAGACAAGUUGGAAGUGAAAUCUAUGGGCUCAACCCAUAAACUGCUUUCAAAACUGUUUUUCUUGAGUAGUGCAGAGGUAGGCGGAAUUCCCGGUGUAGCGGUGGAAUGCGUAGAUAUCGGGAGGAACACCAGUGGCGAAGGCGGCCUACUGGGCACCAACUGACGCUGGGGCUCGAAAGUGUGGGUAGCAAACAGGAUUAGAUACCCUGGUAGUCCACACCGUAAACGAUGAUUACUAGGUGUUGGAGGAUUGACCCCUUCAGUGCCGCAGUUAACACAAUAAGUAAUCCACCUGGGGAGUACGACCGCAAGGUUGAAACUCAAAGGAAUUGACGGGGGCCCGCACAAGCAGUGGAGUAUGUGGUUUAAUUCGACGCAACGCGAAGAACCUUACCAAGUCUUGACAUCCCUUGACAGACAUAGAAAUAUGUGUUCUCUUCGGAGCAAGGAGACAGGUGGUGCAUGGUUGUCGUCAGCUCGUGUCGUGAGAUGUUGGGUUAAGUCCCGCAACGAGCGCAACCCUUAUGGUCAGUUACUACGCAAGAGGACUCUGGCCAGACUGCCGUUGACAAAACGGAGGAAGGUGGGGAUGACGUCAAAUCAUCAUGCCCUUUAUGACUUGGGCUACACACGUACUACAAUGGCGUUAAACAAAGAGAAGCAAGACCGCGAGGUGGAGCAAAACUCAGAAACAACGUCCCAGUUCGGACUGCAGGCUGCAACUCGCCUGCACGAAGUCGGAAUUGCUAGUAAUCGUGGAUCAGCAUGCCACGGUGAAUACGUUCCCGGGCCU